rnacentral:lncRNA from 1 species
AAACCUAAGAAAUAUGCAUGCAAAUGGAUUCUAAGUUUCUCAAUAUAAAGAUAACAGAGUACCUCAGAGGACCAGGACAAAUUUAUACACAAAAAUUGAAAGUGGGAUAAAAACUUAAGAUGACUCAGUAUUCAACACAAUAAAAAUGAAGACAUAAAUCACUCCAUUAAGACCCAGAACAGGUGAAGUUUGGACUGAGGUCAUGAAUAAUAGAAGAAGAAAAA